rnacentral:rRNA from 1 species
ACGCAAUAGAUACCCUGGUAGUCCACGCCCUAAACGAUGUCUACUAGUUGUCGGGUCUUAAUUGACUUGGUAAACGCAGCUAAACGCGUGAAGUAGACCGCCUGGGGAGUACGGUCGCAAGAUUAAAACUCAAAGGAAUUGACGGGGACCCGCACAAGCGGUGGAUGAUGUGGAUUAAAUUCGAUGCAACGCGAAAAACCUUACCUACCCUUGACAUGGAUGGAAUCCCUGAGAGAUUGGGGAGUGCCCGAAAGGGAACCAUUACACAGGUGCUGCAUGGCUGUCGUCAGCUCGUGUCGUGAGAUGUUGGGUUAAGUCCCGCAACGAGCGCAACCCUUGUCAUUAGUUGCUACGAAAGGGCACUCUAAUGAGACUGCCGGUGACAAACCGGAGGAAGUGGGGAUGACGUCAAGUCCUCAUGGCCCUUA